GAGGGGGAGGGGGGGUUCUUGCGUACACUCUUUUUUCAGUUGGUAUAUUUUAGCAAUGUAUAUUGGGUUUUAGUAGACAAAAAUACUCUCAUAUAUUAUGGACUCUAAGUUUUAAGGUCAAGGGUAUUUGAAUAAUUUUCAUUCUCAAAACUAAAAAAACAAACAAGAAAACCCCAAACCCUUACUGAGCUUUCUUUCAUCGCUCAUUCCUCUUAACCCUUUCUCUUUCAUCUCUCUCACUCCAACAUUUUCUUUGUCAUCCCUACAGUAGCCCCAACUGAAAAAAUCAUAAAGACUCAUCUAACUCUAAUCCACCUUCCCGACUUAUCCAAUUUGUUUCUCUCUCAUCUUUAUCCUCUCUCACAUCCACACAUAACAACCUGCGACAUCGCAAUUUGUUGCUCUUAUUAUGUUCGUUUAUUUGUUUUUCACUUUAAUAACAAAAUAAUUGAUGAUGUUGAUGUUGAUUUUUGAUUGGAGGACUGUGUUAUAUCUUUU
rnacentral:lncRNA from 1 species